rnacentral:misc_RNA from 1 species
UUAUUUCAAUUUAGUAAUACAUGCCCAGUGGAAAUACCACCAAAAUCUAAACUAAAAGAGAACCUUCCAUCACAGUAACAGCUUUCCCUCGCAGCAGCACUCUCUGAUUCUGCUCAUCCAGAUGAAUGUUUAAUAUUCCACCUCUAGGUGAUGCCUGAUAGGCCAUAAAAUCGCAGUUGCCCAGCUUCUUGCUCCAAUAGGGGGCUAAAGCACAAUGCGCACUCCCAGUAACAGGAUCCUCAUCGAUCCCAAAUUUGGGACAGAAGUAUCGACUAUAAAAGUCAAAUGCAGAAUCUGAUGGAGCAACCCCAGAAACAAGUAUCCCCCCCUUUCCAGGACAUUUUAGCAUCUCAUCAAACUGUGGCUGUAAUUCUGU